rnacentral:rRNA from 1 species
AUCAGCUUGUUGGUGAGGUAACGGCUCACCAAGGCUUCGACGGGUAGCUGGUCUGAGAGGACGAUCAGCCACACUGGCACUGCGACACGGGCCAGACUCCUACGGGAGGCAGCAGUAAGGAAUAUUGCGCAAUGGACGAAAGUCUGACGCAGCGACGCCGCGUGGGGGAUGAAGGUCUUCGGAUUGUAAACCCCUUUCGGGAGGGAAGAUGGAAUGGGUAACCAUUCGGACGGUACCUCCAGAAGCAGCCACGGCUAGCUUCGUGCCAGCAGCCGCGGUAAUACGAAGGUGGCAAGCGUUGUUCGGAUUCACUGGGCGUACAGGGAGCGUAGGCGGUUGGGUAAGCCCUCCGUGAAAUCUCCGGGCCUAACCCGGAAAGUGCAGAGGGGACUGCUCGGCUUGAGGACGGGAGAGGAGCGCGGAAUUCCCGGUGUAGCGGUGAAAUGCGUAGAGAUCGGGAGGAAGGCCGGUGGCGAAGGCGGCGCUCUGGAACGUUUCUGACGCUGAGGCUCGAAAGCGUGGGGAGCAAACAGGAUUAGAUACCCUGGUAGUCCACGCCUU